UAUAAUGUCAGCAUAGUCCGAC
rnacentral:miRNA from 1 species